rnacentral:rRNA from 1 species
GUAGGUGGCAAGCGUUGUCCGGAAUUAUUGGGCGUAAAGCGCGCGCAGGCGGUUCUUUAAGUCUGAUGUGAAAGCCCACGGCUCAACCGUGGAGGGUCAUUGGAAACUGGAGAACUUGAGUACAGAAGAGGAAAGCGGAAUUCCACGUGUAGCGGUGAAAUGCGUAGAGAUGUGGAGGAACACCAGUGGCGAAGGCGGCUUUCUGGUCUGUAACUGACGCUGAGGCGCGAAAGCGUGGGGAGCAAACAGGGAUUAGAUACCCUGGUAGUCCGCGCCGUAAACGAUGAGUGCUAAGUGUUAGGGGGUUUCCGCCCCCUUAGUGCUGCAGCUAACGCAUUAAGCACUCCGCCUGGGGAGUACGGCCGCAAGGCUG